rnacentral:lncRNA from 1 species
UGGAGUGAAAUAGCUCUCUGUCUCAGCAAUCUAAGAGAAGCUUGGAUGUUUCUGAGGUUGCUAACGAGUCCACAGUUGUGGGAUGCCUUAGGCGCUGAUGCUGCAAGUGGAAGUCAUCUGCUGUAGAAGCUCGGAUGGGAACUUUCUGUUGGAGAAGUUCGAUAGGAGUCCGAUUGCUAGAGAAGUCCAUCUGAAAUUUGCCUGAUGUGGAAGCUCGUCUGAAGAUUGUUCGUCGGAGAGAUCUAAUUUCAUAAGAAA